rnacentral:tRNA from 1 species
GCAACCGCCGGCAGAGCGGGUAUCAUUGAUGUUGAUAUAUAUGAAUAUUUUAAUUGUUCGUUGCU